AUUGAACGCUGGCGGCAUGCCUAACACAUGCAAGUCGAACGGCAGCACGAUGUGUAGCAAUACACAUGGGUGGCGAGUGGCGGACGGGUGAGUAGAAAGUAGGGAUCUGCCUUAUAGAUUGGGAUAACUUGGGGAAACUCGAGCUAAUACCGGAUAAGCACUACGGUGGAAAGCAUGGGACCGAAAGGCCAUGCGCUAUAAGAUGAACCUACGUCGGAUUAGCUAGUUGGUUAGGUAAAGGCUGACCAAGGCGAAGAUCCGUAGCUGGUCUGAGAGGAUGAUCAGCCACAUUGGGACUGAGACACGGCCCAAACUCCUACGGGAGGCAGCAGUGGGGAAUAUUGGACAAUGGGCGAAAGCCUGAUCCAGCAAUGCCGCG
rnacentral:rRNA from 1 species